ensembl:lncRNA
UGGGGGGUGACGCGUCGUGAUAGGCUGAAGGAGCUGUCCGUCACCGCUGUCGGCCGUAAGGGGCAAAGGGCGAAGGGCGAAGGGGAAGUGGUUGCCAUGGAGACGGGUGGAGGAGGGAGUGGCGCCGCCCAUUGGGCCUGGGCCUGUUCCGCCGCGCCCGCGGUCGUCCCGGGCGGGGCCUGCUGUACAGCCCGUCCUUCAGCACUGCACAAACGCUCUGCGGUCACACCCCGUCUCUCCUCGAAGCUUUUCUGCUGAUCCGUACGUUCGGUGCUAAAUUUAAUGUGCUAAACCCCUGCCGUGCGUGCAGGAAUUGUGUCAGCAGAAGAGGCCCCUCCUCCCCGGCGGUGCUGCCCUCAGCGUGUCUCCGUGCUCUCGGACAUUAACAAAUACCAGAUGGUAAACAGCUCAGCGCUGCCUUUAUCUGUAGGCCCACAGAGGUGAUACAGUGCAGGGAAUGCUUCAGCGGCUCUGAAACGAGGCCAGCAUCGGGCUGGAGGGCAGCAGCUGCUUUCUGCUGCGUGUUGUCACUGUGUGUGCUGCAGUCCUCUGCUUCUGACCAGAAAGGAGGGCAGCAGAGGUUUGGCUGAGUCAGAGGAGGUUCAUGGAGCGCUGUCUGCUGCCCAUCCUCAUGUGCGUGGCAGUGUCCUCCAGGUGUCGGCCCGGCUGCUGGGGGAGGACCCGGCCAUUGAGUCUCCCACACUGCAGUUUACCACAGGCUUCUCUCAUGAUAGUGCCUGGCCAUAUGUGAUUUACUUUGAUCUUGGCACAGAGUCCAAAGUGCUGGAAAGCAAUCACCCAAAUUCUGGUUGGCGAAGCGGGACGAAGGAAGAGACCCCCGCGGUCCCCGG